rnacentral:rRNA from 1 species
GAUGAACGCUGGCGGCGUGCCUAAUACAUGCAAGUCGAGCGAACAGACGAGGAGUUUGCUCCUCUGACGUUAGCGGCGGACGGGUGAGUAACACGUGGAUAACCUACCUAUAAGACUGGGAUAACUUCGGGAAACCGGAGCUAAUACCGGAUAACAUGUUGAACCGCAUGGUUCAACAGUGAAAGACGGUCUUGCUGUCACUUAUAGAUGGAUCCGCGCCGCAUUAGCUAGUUGGUAAGGUAACGGCUUACCAAGGCAACGAUGCGUAGCCGACCUCAGAGGGUGAUCGGCCACACUGGAACUGAGACACGGUCCAGACUCCUACGGGAGGCAGCAGUAGGGAAUCUUCCGCAAUGGGCGAAAGCCUGACGGAGCAACGCCGCGUGAGUGAAGAAGGUCUUCGGAUCGUAAAACUCUGUUAUUAGGGAAGAACAAAUGUGUAAGUAACUAUGCACGUCUUGACGGUACCUAAUCAGAAAGCCACGGCUAACUACGUG